UAUAUUCUGUAGCAAGGUUAACCGUAUAGGGGAGCCGUAGGGAAACCGAGUCUUAACUGGGCGAUUAGUUGCAAGGUAUAGACCCGAAACCCGGUGAUCUAGCCAUGGGCAGGUUGAAGGUUGGGUAACACUAACUGGAGGACCGAACCGACUAAUGUUGAAAAAUUAGCGGAUGACUUGUGGCUGGGGGUGAAAGGCCAAUCAAACCGGGAGAUAGCUGG
rnacentral:ncRNA from 1 species